CUGCAGAUUUCUGUGAAGCAUGUCCACCGCACUGCGCCUAUUACUUGAGAGUGUGUGUAAUAGCUAAUUACAACAAUAGGACAAGCUCCUGGUCUUUGGACAAAGUUCAACUCUAAACUGACAGAGAGGGAAGAAUAAAGAUCGAAGGAUGACUGACCAAUCAGAAGGGGCACAUUUACAGCAACUAUACAGUCUGAAAUGUUUUUACUGUGUGCAGAGAAAAGUUGUUCAGCUUUGUACUAGGAGCUGAGCCCCACCCUUGGUCGAACACCGACAGAAAGCAGAAGAGAGGACGGAGAACCUAGCGUGACCAUAAAUAACAGCAAAAUACGGUGGAGACUCUCAGCAUAUUUUUUGUCUGUUCAUUCAGCUUAGGCAAUGUGAAAAAACACUUGGGUGCUGCACAUAAGUGUUAUAAUGGUACAGAAAACCCUGGAAAUGCUGGAAUGAGUAGAUCUUUUGCAUUUUUUUACUUGAAUGACUUAAUGACUAAUCGAC